GAGGGUGUAGCUCAGUGGUAGAGUACAUGCAUGAUUAGCAUGUGUGAGGCCCUUGGUUCAACCCCCAGAAACCAUA
rnacentral:tRNA from 1 species